UGCGUAGGCGGACUAAUAAGUCAGUGGUGAAAUCUUUCGGCUCAACCGAGAAACUGCCAUUGAUACUGUUAGUCUUGAGUUCGGUUGAGGUAGGCGGAAUGUGUAAUGUAGCGGUGAAAUGCUUAGAUAUUACACAGAACACCAAUUGCGUAGGCAGCUUACUAGACCGACACUGACGCUGAGGCACGAAAGCGUGGGGGGCGAACAGGAUUAGAUACCCUGGUAGUCC
rnacentral:rRNA from 1 species